GACGAACGCUGGCGGCGUGCUUAACACAUGCAAGUCGAACGGAAAGGCCCUGCUUUUGUGGGGUGCUCGAGUGGCGAACGGGUGAGUAACACGUGAGUAACCUGCCCUUGACUUUGGGAUAACUUCAGGAAACUGGGGCUAAUACCGGAUAGGAGCUCCUGCUGCAUGGUGGGGGUUGGAAAGUUUCGGCGGUUGGGGAUGGACUCGCGGCUUAUCAGCUUGUUGGUGGGGUAGUGGCUUACCAAGGCUUUGACGGGUAGCCGGCCUGAGAGGGUGACCGGCCACAUUGGGACUGAGAUACGGCCCAGACUCCUACGGGAGGCAGCAGUGGGGAAUAUUGCACAAUGGGCGGAAGCCUGAUGCAGCAACGCCGCGUGCGGGAUGACGGCCUUCGGAUUGUAAACCGCUUUCGCCUGUGACGAAGCGUGAGUGACGGUAAUGGGUAAAGAAGCACCGGCUAACUACGUGCCAGCAGCCGCGGUGAUACGUAGGGUGCGAGCGUUGUCCGGAUUUAUUGGGCGUAAAGGGCUCGUAGGUGGUUGAUCGCGUCGGAAGUGUAAUCUUGGGGCUUAACCCUGAGCGUGCUUUCGAUACGGGUUGACUUGAGGAAGGUAGGGGAGAAUGGAAUUCCUGGUGGAGCGGUGGAAUGCGCAGAUAUCAGGAGGAACACCAGUGGCGAAGGCGGUUCUCUGGGCCUUUCCUGACGCUGAGGAGCGAAAGCGUGGGGAGCGAACAGGCUUAGAUACCCUGGUAGUCCACGCUGUAAACGGUGGGUACUAGGUGUGGGGUCCAUUCCACGGGUUCCGUGCCGUAGCUAACGCUUUAAGUACCCCGCCUGGGGAGUACGGCCGCAAGGCUAAAACUCAAAGGAAUUGACGGGGCCCCGCACAAGCGGCGGAGCAUGCGGAUUAAUUCGAUGCAACGCGUAGAACCUUACCUGGGUUUGACAUGGAUCGGGAGUGCUCAGAGAUGGGUGUGCCUCUUUUGGGGUCGGUUCACAGGUGGUGCAUGGCUGUCGUCAGCUCGUGUCGUGAGAUGUUGGGUUAAGUCCCGCAACGAGCGCAACCCUUGUUCACUGUUGCCAGCACGUUAUGGUGGGGACUCAGUGGAGACCGCCGGGGUCAACUCGGAGGAAGGUGGGGAUGACGUCAAGUCAUCAUGCCCCUUAUGUCCAGGGCUUCACGCAUGCUACAAUGGCUGGUACAGAGAGUGGCGAGCCUGUGAGGGUGAGCGAAUCUCGGAAAGCCGGUCUCAGUUCGGAUUGGGGUCUGCAACUCGACCUCAUGAAAUCGGAGUCGCUAGUAAUCGCAGAUCAGCAACGCUGCGGUGAAUACAAUCCCGGGGCU
rnacentral:rRNA from 1 species